CAGCCGCCACGGUAAUACGUAGGUCCCGAGCGUUGUCCGGAUUUAUUGGGCGUAAAGGGAGCGCAGGCGGUUUAGUAAGUCUGAAGUUAAAGGCAUUAGCUCAACCAAUGUAUGCUUUGGAAACUGUUAGACUUGAGUGCAGAAGGGGAGAGUGGAAUUCCACGUGUAGCGGUGAAAUGCGUAGAGAUGUGGAGGAACACCAGUGGCGAAGGCGACUCUCUGGUCUGUAACUGACGCUGAGGAGCGAAAGCGUGGGGAGCGAACAGGAUUAGAUACCCGGGUAGUCCCUGUCUCUUAUACA
rnacentral:rRNA from 1 species